GGUCCUUGUGUGCCAGCAGCCGCGGUACUACGUAGGUGGCAAGCGUUGUCCGGAUUUAUUGGGCGUACAGCGAGCGCAGGCGGUUUCUUAAGUCUGAUGUGAAAGCCUUCGGCUCAACCGAAGAAGUGCAUCGGAAACUGGGAAACUUGAGUGCAGAAGAGGACAGUGGAACUCCAUGUGUAGCGGUGAAAUGCGUAGAUAUAUGGAAGAACACCAGUGGCGAAGGCGGCUGUCUGGUCUGUAACUGACGCUGAGGCUCGAAAGCAUGGGUAGCAAACAGG
rnacentral:rRNA from 1 species